ensembl:rRNA 5S_rRNA 5S ribosomal RNA
AGCCACGGUCAUAUCGCCCUGCAGCCCAAGACCCGUUACUCACUGAAGCUAAGCAAGGCUAAGCCUGAUCAGUACUUGGAUGGUAGUCCACAUGGAAAAACCAGGUUGCUGUUGGAA